rnacentral:rRNA from 1 species
UGGGGAAUAUUGCACAAUGGGCGCAAGCCUGAUGCAGCCAUGCCGCGUGUGUGAAGAAGGCCUUCGGGUUGUAAGGCACUUUCAGCGAGGAGGAAGGCAUUAAGGUUAAUAACCUUAGUGAUUGACGUUACUCGCAGAAGAAGCACCGGCUAACUCCGUGCCAGCAGCCGCGGUAAUACGGAGGGUGCAAGCGUUAAUCGGAAUUACUGGGCGUAAAGCGCACGCAGGCGGUUUGUUAAGUCAGAUGUGAAUCCCCGAGCUUAACUUGGGAGCUGCAUUU